AGAACUGUAUUUGCGCAUGUGUGUAAGCAUGGGUGACUUCCUGCAGUGAAGAUACCUAUGAAGACCAGAAGAGGGCAUCAGACCCCAGGAGCUGCAGUUAUAGAUGGUUGUGAGCCACCAUGGCUCUGAAAGGAACCCCAAGGUGUCGUUCAGGACCGUGGACAGCAUCAAGGGGGCGCCAUCAAAUACCUAAGUCCUGAGGGUGGGAGAUAGAAUACUAGAAGUGCCCCUUAAGCUGAAGUGAUAAGGAGCAGAACGCAAGCCUAUGAGGGAAGUAAUCCUCAAACUGCAAAACAGAUCAUGGAAAAGAAAGGCUACUGUGAUUCGAAACUCUGCCUACACAGACCUUCACUUCAACCAAUUUUCCCUUUCACUACUCAGCUGAACUGACUUUGCUGGACUAUGUCUAAGAAAGAAUUCCUGUGGACGGAAAACCAAAUUUCCCCUCAGUUCAUUGGUAACAUCCACGAAAGGAUUAUCUGGGCUGGCAAGAUGGCUCAGCAGGUACAGGUGCUUGCUGCCAAGACUGACAACCUGAGUUCAAGUCCCAGACCCUGCAUGAUGGAAGGCUGAAAGCAGAUGCAAAUUGUCCUUUAAAUUCUUCAUGCCAGAAAUUAAAUAGAUGUAAAUGUUAAGGGUUUUCUUAAUGUGCCCAGUAAAACAAGUCACGAAAUAAACAUUCCCUUCUGUGCCUGAU
rnacentral:lncRNA from 1 species